rnacentral:rRNA from 1 species
GUGUCAGCCGCCGCGGUAAUACGAAGGGGGCUAGCGUUGCUCGGAAUCACUGGGCGUAAAGCGCACGUAGGCGGAUCUUUAAGUCAGGGGUGAAAUCCUGGAGCUCAACUCCAGAACUGCCUUUGAUACUGGGGAUCUCGAGUCCGGGAGAGGUGAGUGGAACUGCGAGUGUAGAGGUGAAAUUCGUAGAUAUUCGCAAGAACACCAGUGGCGAAGGCGGCUCACUGGCCCGGUACUGACGCUGAGGUGCGAAAGCGUGGGGAGCAAACAGGAUUAGAUACCCCGGUAGUCC